rnacentral:rRNA from 1 species
GGGUAGUUUGACUGGGGCGGUCUCCUCCCAAAGAGUAACGGAGGAGCACGAAGGUUAGCUAAUCCUGGUCGGACAUCAGGAGGUUAGUGCAAUGGCAUAAGCUAGCUUGACUGCGAGCGUGACGGCGCGAGCAGGUGCGAAAGCAGGUCAUAGUGAUCCGGUGGUUCUGAAUGGAAGGGCCAUCGCUCAACGGAUAAAAGGUACUCCGGGGAUAACAGGCUGAUACCGCCCAAGAGUUCAUAUCGACGGCGGUGUUUGGCACCUCGAUGUCGGCUCAUCACAUCCUGGGGCUGAAGUAGGUCCCAAGGGUAUGGCUGUUCGCCAUUUAAAGUGGUACGCGAGCUGGGUUUAGAACGUCGUGAGACAGUUCGGUCCCUAUCUGCCGUGGGCGCUGGAGAAUUGAGGGGGGCUGCUCCUAGUACGAGAGGACCGGAGUGGACGCAUCACUGGUGUUCGGGUUGUCAUGCCAAUGGCACUGCCCGGUAGCUAAAUGCGGAAGAGAUAAGUGCUGAAAGCAUCUAAGCACGAAACUUGCCCCG